rnacentral:tRNA from 6 species
AGGGGCGUGGUGUCAAUGGUAGCACGGCGGUCUCCAAAACCGUUGGUCUGGGUUCGAGUCCCUGCGCCCCUGCCA